CUCCUACGGGAGGCAGCAGUGGGGAAUCUUGCACAAUGGAGGAAACUCUGAUGCAGCGACGCCGCGUGAGCGAUGAAGCCCUUCGGGGUGUAAAGCUCUUUCGGCGGGGAAGAUAAUGACGGUACCCGCAGAAGAAGCCCCGGCUAACUUCGUGCCAGCAGCCGCGGUAAUACGAAGGGGGCUAGCGUUGCUCGGAAUCACUGGGCGUAAAGCGCACGUAGGCGGCUUUUUAAGUCGAGGGUGAAAUCCUGGAGCUCAACUCCAGAACUGCCUUCGAUACUGAGGAGCUUGAGUCCGGGAGAGGUGAGUGGAACUGCGAGUGUAGAGGUGAAAUUCGUAGAUAUUCGCAAGAACACCAGUGGCGAAGGCGGCUCACUGGCCCGGUACUGACGCUGAGGUGCGAAAGCGUGGGGAGCAUACAGGAUUAGAUACCCUGGUAGUCCACGCUGUAAACGAUGGAUGCUAGCCGUUGUCGGGUUUACUCGUCAGUGGCGCAGCUAACGCUAUUAAGCAUCCCGCAAAGGGGAGUACGGUCAGCAA
rnacentral:rRNA from 1 species